AGCAGCCAGCUCGGAUUGUACAUAUGCAAAUAAGAAGGUUAAGGAACAGAGAUAUACCAAUGGUUAAAGUCCCAUGGAAUUACCACAACCUAGAAGAAUGCACAUGGGAGACCCGUGAUUCAAUGCCUGUAAGACCCAAAUGGAUCUUCUUCAACAGAGCAUCAGAAAGCAUUUUUUAUGGCGAUAAAAGGUUGUAUGGUGGUCGACGACGCUU
rnacentral:misc_RNA from 1 species